AACGAACGCUGGCGGCAUGCCUAACACAUGCAAGUCGAACGAGACCUUCGGGUCUAGUGGCGCACGGGUGCGUAACGCGUGGGAACCUGCCCUUAGGUUCGGAAUAACUCCCCGAAAGGGGUGCUAAUACCGGAUAAUGUCUUCGGACCAAAGAUUUAUCGCCUUUGGAUGGGCCCGCGUUGGAUUAGCUAGUUGGUAGGGUAAAAGCCUACCAAGGCGACGAUCCAUAGCUGGUCUGAGAGGAUGAUCAGCCACACUGGGACUGAGACACGGCCCAGACUCCUCCGGGAGGAGGAGGGGGGAAAUAUGGAAGAAGGGGGAAAGGCUUAACCCAGCAAUGCCGGGGGAGGAAGAAGGCCUUUGGGGUGGAAAACUUUUUUGCCCCGGAAUGAAAAGGACAGUACGGGAAAAAAAACCCCCGGCUACCCCGGUC
rnacentral:rRNA from 1 species